rnacentral:rRNA from 1 species
GGCUUUUUGAAUAUAAUUUGAGGUCUGACCUGCCCACUGAGGAUUUAAAUGGCCGCGGUAUUUUGACCGUGCUAAGGUAGCAUAAUCAUUAGUUUUUUAAUUGAAAGCUGGAAUGAAGGGUUGGAUGAAAAAGAGGCUGUCUCUUAAUUAUUUUGAAAGAAUUUUAUUUUUAAGUAAAAAAGCUUAAAUUUUUUUAAAAGACGAGAAGACCCUAUAGAGUUUUAUAUGGGAUAAAUAUUUAUUUUUAGGUAUUUUUAAUUAAGUGUUUAUUUUAUAUUUGGUUGGGGUGACUAAAAAAUUAAUAAAACUUUUUUAUUUUAGACCAUUUAUUUAUGAAAAAUUGAUCCAUAAUUAGUGAUUAAAAGAAAAAAUUACCUUAGGGAUAACAGCGUAAUUUUUUUUAAGAGUUCAAAUCGAAAAAAAAGAUUGCGACCUCGAUGUUGGAUUAAAAUUAAUUUUUGGUGCAGAAGCUAGGAAUUUUAGGUCUGUUCGACCUUUGAAAUUU